CAAUAGCAUAUAUUAAUGUUGUUGCAGUUAAAAAGCUCGUAGUUGGAUCUCUGUAGGAGUGCCAAUGUCCACCCACGUGUGAGUUGCAGCGGCGCUCCUGCAUCCUUCGGUUACCUCCGCUCGGCAUUCACUUGCCGGCGGUUGGCUCCGAAUAUCUACCUUGAGAAAAUUAGAGUGUUUCAGGCAGGCUAAGCCGGAAUACAUUAGCAUGGAAUAAUAGAAUAGGACUACGGUCUCGUUGUUGGUUUGAGGGACUGGAGUAAUGAUUAAUAGGGAUAGUUGGGGGCAUUAGUAUUUAAUUGUCAGAGGUGAAAUUCUCAGAUUAACUAAAGACUAACUUAUGCGAAAGCAUUUGCCAAGGAUGUUUUCAUUAA
rnacentral:rRNA from 1 species